UACAGAGGGAGCUAGCGUUGUUCGGAAUCACUGGGCGUAAAGCGCACGUAGGCUGCCAACUAAGUCGGGUGUGAAAUCCUGGAGCUUAACUCCAGAACUGCAUUCGAAACUGGAUGGCUUGAGAUUGGUAGAGGAUAGUGGAAUUCCGAGUGUAGAGGUGAAAUUCGUAGAUAUUCGGAGGAACACCAGUGGCGAAGGCGGCUAUCUGGGCCAAUACUGACGCUAAGGUGCGAAAGCGUGGGGAGCAAACAGG
rnacentral:rRNA from 1 species